CGGAGGAAAAGAAACCAACAGGGAUUGCCUUAGUAACGGCGAGUGAAGCGGCAAAAGCUCAAAUUUGAAAUCUGGCACCUUCGGUGUCCGAGUUGUAAUUUGAAGAAGGUAACUUUGGAGUUGGCUCUUGUCUAUGUUCCUUGGAACAGGACGUCACAGAGGGUGAGAAUCCCGUGCGAUGAGAUGCCCAAUUCUAUGUAAAGUGCUUUCGAAGAGUCGAGUUGUUUGGGAAUGCAGCUCUAAGUGGGUGGUAAAUUCCAUCUAAAGCUAAAUAUUGGCGAGAGACCGAUAGCGAACAAGUACAGUGAUGGAAAGAUGAAAAGAACUUUGAAAAGAGAGUGAAAAAGUACGUGAAAUUGUUGAAAGGGAAGGGCUUGAGAUCAGACUUGGUAUUUUGCGAUCCUUUCCUUCUUGGUUGGGUUCCUCGCAGCUUACUGGGCCAGCAUCGGUUUGGAUGGUAGGAUAAUGACUAAGGAAUGUGGCUCUACUUCGGUGGAGUGUUAUAGCCUUGGUUGAUACUGCCUGUCUAGACCGAGGACUGCGUCUUUGACUAGGAUGCUGGCAUAAUGAUCUUAAGCCACCCGUCU
rnacentral:rRNA from 1 species